GGGCCCGUGGCGAAAUGGCAGACGCAGCGGACUUAAAAUCCGCUUUCCCGAAAGGGGAGUGUGGGUUCGACUCCCACCGGGGCCA
rnacentral:tRNA from 1 species